rnacentral:rRNA from 1 species
UUCGACAGGCUUAACACAUGCAAGUCGAGGGGCAGCACAGGUAGCAAUACCGGGUGGCGACCGGCGCACGGGUGAGUAACGCGUAUGCAACUUGCCUAUCAGAGGGGGAUAACCCGGCGAAAGUCGGACUAAUACCGCAUGAAGCAGGGGCCCCGCAUGGGGAUAUUUGCUAAAGAUUCAUCGCUGAUAGAUAGGCAUGCGUUCCAUUAGGCAGUUGGCGGGGUAACGGCCCACCAAACCGACGAUGGAUAGGGGUUCUGAGAGGAAGGUCCCCCACAUUGGUACUGAGACACGGACCAAACUCCUACGGGAGGCAGCAGUGAGGAAUAUUGGUCAAUGGCCGAGAGGCUGAACCAGCCAAGUCGCGUGAGGGAUGAAGGUUCUAUGGAUCGUAAACCUCUUUUAUAAGGGAAUAAAGUGCGGGACGUGUCCCGUUUUGUAUGUACCUUAUGAAUAAGGAUCGGCUAACUCCGUGCCAGCAGCCGCGGUAAUACGGAGGAUCCGAGCGUCAUCCGGAUUUAUUGGGUUUAAAGGGUGCGUAGGCGGCCUUUUAAGUCAGCGGUGAAAGUCUGUGGCUCAACCAUAGAAUUGCCGUUGAAACUGGGGGGCUUGAGUAUGUUUGAGGCAGGCGGAAUGCGUGGUGUAGCGGUGAAAUGCAUAGAUAUCACGCAGAACCCCGAUUGCGAAGGCAGCCUGCCAAGCCAUUACUGACGCUGAUGCACGAAAGCGUGGGGAUCAAACAGGAUUAGAUACCCUGGUAGUCCACGCAGUAAACGAUGAUCACUAGCUGUUUGCGAUACACUGUAAGCGGCACAGCGAAAGCGUUAAGUGAUCCACCUGGGGAGUACGCCGGCAACGGUGAAACUCAAAGGAAUUGACGGGGGCCCGCACAAGCGGAGGAACAUGUGGUUUAAUUCGAUGAUACGCGAGGAACCUUACCCGGGUUUGAACGCAUUCGGACCGAGGUGGAAACACCUUUUCUAGCAAUAGCCGUUUGCGAGGUGCUGCAUGGUUGUCGUCAGCUCGUGCCGUGAGGUGUCGGCUUAAGUGCCAUAACGAGCGCAACCCUUGCCACUAGUUACUAACAGGUUAGGCUGAGGACUCUGGUGGGACUGCCAGCGUAAGCUGCGAGGAAGGCGGGGAUGACGUCAAAUCAGCACGGCCCUUACAUCCGGGGCGACACACGUGUUACAAUGGCGUGGACAAAGGGAUGCCACCUGGCGACAGGGAGCGAAUCCCCAAACCACGUCUCAGUUCGGAUCGGAGUCUGCAACCCGACUCCGUGAAGCUGGAUUCGCUAGUAAUCGCGCAUCAGCCAUGGCGCGGUGAAUACGUUCCCGGGCCUUGUACACACCGCCCGUCAAGCCAUGGGAGCCGGGGGUACCUGAAGUCCGUAACCGAAAGGAUCGGCCUAGGGUAAAACUGGUGACUGGG